CAAUAGCGUAUAUUAAAGUUGUUGCGGUUAAAAAGCUCGUAGUUGGAUUUCUGCUGAGGACGAUCGGUCCGCCCACUGGGUGAGUAUCUGGCUCGGCCUUGGCAUCUUCUUGGAGAACGUUGCUGCACUUGACUGUGUGGUGCGGUAUCCAGGACUUUUACUUUGAGGAAAUUAGAGUGUUUCAAGCAGGCGCACGCCUUGAAUACAUUAGCAUGGAAUAAUAAGAUAGGACCUUGGUUCUAUUUUGUUGGUUUCUAGAGCUGAGGUAAUGAUUAAUAGGGAUAGUUGGGGGCAUUCGUAUUUUACUGUCAGAGGUGAAAUUCUUGGAUUUGUUAAAGACGGACUACUGCGAANGNAUUUGCNAAGGAUGUUUNCAUUG
rnacentral:rRNA from 1 species